UACGUAGGUGGCAAGCGUUGUCCGGAAUUACUGGGCGUAAAGGGCGCGUAGGCGGCCUUCUAAGUCAGACGUGAAAUCCCUCGGCUUAACCGGGGAACUGCGUCUGAUACUGGUUGGCUUGAAUUCGGGAGAGGGAUGCAGAAUUCCAGGUGUAGCGGUGAAAUGCGUAGAUAUCUGGAGGAAUACCGGUGGCGAAGGCGGCAUCCUGGACCGACAUUGACGCUGAACGGCGAAAGCUAGGGGAGCAAACGGG
rnacentral:rRNA from 1 species